UACGGGGGGAGCAAGCGUUGUUCGGAUUUACUGGGCGUAAAGGGCGCGUAGGCGGCCACUGCAAGUCAGUUGUGAAAUCUCCGGGCUUAACUCGGAAAGGUCAACUGAUACUGCAGGGCUAGAGUGCAGAAGGGGCAACUGGAAUUCUCGGUGUAGCGGUGAAAUGCGUAGAUAUCGAGAGGAACACCUGCGGCGAAGGCGGCUUCCUGGACCGACACUGACGCUGAGGCGCGAAAGCUAGGGGAGCAAACGGG
rnacentral:rRNA from 1 species